AUUCAGAAGGCAGCUGACUUCUCCAAAGAGCUGUAACAGGUCAAACAUACAGCCAGGAUUUCCAGUCCACUGAACCACAGUGCGUAGGAGGGCUCCACUGUGAACAUGUGGCAUGAAGAGGUCACUUGAUCCUGAAAAAUGCACAGAAUCCAUCUUCAUCCUCUGUUUUUAAUUAAAUUUUCCAUUUAUUGAUAAUGCAUGUGGGAUCUGAUCCAAACACUGGAGAGCUGAAAUCUUGAGUACCAACUUCUACUUCUUGUUCAGGACUCAACUGAAAGCUUUUCUGAGAAACACCUCUCUUUUCUGAAGAAGAAAUCUGCUCAUACCUCACCAUUUUUACUGGAACAACAAAACAUGCUUUCUUUGAUUUUUGCAAUUGUCAUAAAAGCACAUGUGACAGCAGAGUCACAAAUUAAGACAGUAAUUAGAAACUGAAUAUAAAAUAUGCACUAGCAGGUUUCCCCCUUUGAGAAAGCUUGAGCUGCAUGUGACAGAUCCUAGUCAUGUUGCUCUGUAUGUCAUUGGUGCCGUUGUUAUGGGUGUAAGAGACAAAAUACAAUGGAAUGCAUAAGUACCAUUUGGGCUAUAACUCUGAAGGACAAUGUGAUGAGAUGAAGGUAGAGCAUUAGCUGUAUAUGUCAAUGGUCUUGCUUUGAUUGCUUUGUGUCAUCAUCAUCCUAAAAUUACGUGAAAAACAGCAUUUUUGGGGUGAGUAGUGUUAAUGUAUUUUACAGUGUGAUUGAUUUAGCAGAAGGUACUGCAAUACAAUCUGACUUGCAACAGCAGAAACUGAAACCGGAGAAGGGCAUUUCAUUUCCGGCAGACAAAAGCGGUGAUUUCCAAGACUUCCUGAGUUCCUGUGCCUUGAUUUGGUAACAUUUUGUUGAUUUGACUGUGGGUUAUGAUUUGCAAUAGCAAAAUAGGUAAGUCUUGUACUGGCAAAAUCAUUAAGGGAUAAUUUUGG